GUGCAAACCGAGCGAACCAAUCUAUUGGUUCGUAUUUUAAGGAGAGAUGCGAGUCUUUAUCGAUCUGAAGCCUCCACUAACUGAUCUAAGUCAUCCAACAUCUGCUGAAACACCAGGAAACACCACCGAGCCGCCAACGAAAAAGUUUCUCCGUUUCCACUUUUCUGCACGAGACUGUAUCUGCUUCCAUAGUGCACCAAACUGAAAUCCAACACCACCAGAAGGUCAGAAAUUCAUCAAGGAACAAUCUGUAUUUUUUGACCUCCGGCUGAAUCUCCCACACGCGCCCUCACGCGCUGAGAGUGUCUUCUGCGUGACUUCACUCGUCGCCUCCACCGCCGGCGCGUGUACCACACGCGCUGCACCGGUAUAUACUGCUUGACGUCUGAAUUCUGGUGGUGGUCUUCGUUUGUCCACCAGAUGUGUAGUUUUUCCAGAAAAUGGGUUCAAAGUUUCUGCUCAACUUGUUUUCGAACAAAAUCGAACCCCUUCGACUUCCAAUCUGAUUUUCAGGUUGUUUUAACACUUUUUACCACUAGCCUAUGCUUUGAUACCAUUUGUAGAGUUUAAAGUGUAGUAUACAAAAGAUUAUUACAACUACAAUGCGGAAUAAUAAACUCUCAAAGUGUAAAACCGAACCAAAAAACGACCCAAAGCUUCUUCAACACCACCAAUGAAGUGUUCUUAAUAUUGAGCUCAGAUUCGUACCACACCGGAUCAUGCACCGUCGUUCACGGGAAUGGCAGUGGAUAUAUCGAGAAAGGAUCCGUUGGAAGCCACCAAGAAUUUCGCCGGAGUUAUGGAAAGCUCCCACUUGGUUAGCUCUCUAUGCUCUCUCUCAA
rnacentral:lncRNA from 1 species